rnacentral:rRNA from 1 species
GGACUACCCGGGUAUCUAAUCCCGUUCGCUCCCCACGCUUUCGCGCCUCAGCGUCAGGGUCGACCCAGAAGGCCGCCUUCGCCACUGGUGUUCCUCCGGAUAUCUACGCAUUUCACCGCUACACCCGGAAUUCCACCUUCCUCUAUCGCCCUCAAGAAGCCCAGUUUGCAGCCACCCUCCCCGGUUGAGCCGGGGGCUUUCAGGCCACACUUAAACUUCCGCCUACGCGCUCUUUACGCCCAGUAAAUCCGGACAACGCUUGCCCCCUACGUAUUACCGCGGCUGCUGGCAC